GUGCUUGCUUUGGCAGAACGUAUACCGAAGUUGGAACAAUGCAGGGAAAAUUAAUUAUUAACAUGGCCCCUGUGCAAGGAUGAUAUGCAAAUUUAUGAUGCAUUGCAGAUUACA
rnacentral:snRNA from 2 species